CCGACGCCGAAGCGGCGGCCGGGACCGUUCAUCACGGUCCCGGCCGCCGCUUCGGCCGUCGUGUCGGGUACUACACCCGGGCGUCGGU
rnacentral:tRNA from 1 species